AGUGAACGCUGGCGGUAGGCCUAACACAUGCAAGUCGAACGGAAGCACAGUAAGAGCUUGCUCUUACGGGUGGCGAGUGGCGGACGGGAGAGGAAUACAUCGGAAUCUACUUUUUCGUGGGGGUUAACGUAGGGAAACUUACGCUAAUACCGCAUACGACCUACGGGGGAAAGUAGGGGAUCUUCGCACCUUGCGCGAUUGAAUGAGCCGAUGUCGGAUUAGCUAGUUGGCGGGGUAAAGGCCCACCAAGGCGGCGAUCCGUAGCUGGUCUGAGAGGAGGAUCGGCCACACUGGAACUGAGACACGGUCCAGACUCCUACGGGAGGCAGCAGUGGGGAAUAUUGGACAAUGGGCGCAAGCCUGAUCCAGCCAUACCGCGUGGGUGAAGAAGGCCUUCGGUUUGUAAAGCCCUUUUGUGGGGAAAGAAAAGCAGCCGGCUAAUACCCCGCUGUUCUGACGGUACCCAAAGAAUAAGCACCGGCUAACUUCGUG
rnacentral:rRNA from 1 species